UUCAAUUUGAGUCGCAUAAACAUUUUAAUUGUUUGUCUCCAAUUUAGCUGCCACAACACGAAUGAACAAGCAAACACAUGUUCCAGGGGUAAGGGAGUGAGAUCUCUCGUUCCGGGCUCCUUUUAACCAUAACCAUAUACGUAUAUGCCACAUAUGUACUGGGAUUCAGAUUAACGCUUCAGGCACGCUCCAGGCAUCUUUGGCUUCAGAGUUGGGGGCCGCCUGUUCCAUGAAUUUCAAUUCGCGGUGCUGCUGCAUCCACCCCGCUCUCUGCUCAUUUAUGCCACAAAGCGUAAGCAAACUUUCAAGACGGCAAUAAAAUCGCAAGACGCCAUGUUUAACUGCCGCACAACUUCCGUAACCACUAAAUUCACAUGGCGCACAUCCUUCCCAUACAUUUAGCAUCCUAUUUGCAUAUGCCUGAGGGAUAAAGGAGCCGGAACUGAAGCUCGAGCGGAAUCUGAAGGAUGGCGUGCGGCUUCCUUGUCAUAUUUCCAUUAGCAUUUGCCAUUUAACUCAUCAUGUGAGUGCGAAUGUGUAUCUCUCUGUAUCUCUGGGUGGGCGGAUAAGUGUAUCAUCUUGCCUUGGCGCAUUUAUUGCCCAUAUUUGAACAUCCGGCUUUUAUCCUUUCGCUCCACGCAUCCUGGCGCGCGCCGUAAUUGCUUGCUGCCUUUAGCGCCUCGGCUCGCCUAUUGUCGUGGGUAGCGAAAACUUUAUUACUUCCAUUGUUCGACGGUGUUGUGGUUGUCGUGGCUGUCGUGGCGUAUGGGUAAUGACUGGCAAGUGGCAAAUAUGCCACAUUCAAAGGGAGCUCUAAUACAAUAUUCAACGGUAUCUAAUACGACGUUCAAAGAGUGCUCAUACGAUAUUCAAAGUUUUAUCUGACACGAUAUUUAGUUAACAUGCCGGGAUAAAUCGAAUUCUUCUUAUAUCAAUAUCGUAUCCCUGCAUUAAUGCAUUUUGUAGUCCUUUUAGCACGGUGAUAAGCACCUUCGAUAUACGAAAGAAAACUCUCGCGAUUCUUAAAACAGUGAACCAGCAUCGACAGUUUCCAUUGAUUCGUUGUAAAGAACUUAACCUCGAAACCGAAUGAAAUAAACGCACUGCAAUGAAGCUACUGAUUGUUGAACUCUUGAACUGUAUCGGGACUUGAUAGAAACGCAAUCAAAUAAUUGCGCAAAGUGUGCCACAAUCAAAUAUAGCAACAAAUUAACCAAACGCCAACACCACCAAACAUUCUCCUACUGCAAAUCGAUAAAGCCCCAAAGAGAGGAGAACUGAGAGAGGGAGAUAGAUGGAAAAACCACAGAGAAAAUAUUAUAGAAUUAUCCAGUUGGUGGGGAUGGAUCGGGCAGACCGAAAAGCGAUAAGUUUACAAUUGCUUAUGACUUCAAUUAAUCUGUGAAAGCGCCUACGCAGGCAGGCAAGCGGCCAUACGACCAGGCGGUGGUGGUGGUGGAGGUGGGGGCGAAGGCGGAGGCGGAGGAAAGCAGUCAGGCAAUCGAUGUCUGGACGGAGAAUUCUUCUGCACGAAAAUAGAAAUUGCAAUUGAACUUCGGAAAAAAAAACUGGCUGUGGUCUGGCUUUGGGUCGGGCUCCACAGCUACAGCUAAGCUACAGCUACAGCUACAACCUCAACAUAAGGUUCGGGUCUCAGACCGCAAACGCAGCCGCCGCAAGACAAUUUGACCUGAAACUUCAUUGAAGAUGUGCCCGGGGUCUAGCCUCCAGUACGCGUCCGAUGCAGUCUUUGAAGAGAACCUCAGAGCCUAAAAGAAAACGGUAAAUGACUAAGUCAUUGGCCAACUCCCAGGCACAAUGAUGACGAUGUUGCUGAUGAUGAGGAAGAAGGUGCAGACGAUGAUUGUGAUCACGAUCAUUAUAAUUAUUUGACUUUGGCAUUAUUAUCAAAAUGGAAUCGCAUGCAUGUCCAUGUCCACGUCGCUCUAUGGGUGGGAGACUGGGAACUUGAACUCGCACGCAUCUGCAGAUGCACCCAGGAUGGAACCAGAGCUUAGCCCUAUUUCACACACCCACGCGGAUGGUAUGGGAUGGGAUGGAAGGAGAUGGGGACACACACGGGACAGGUUCCAGUGGAGAGCAUUCAUAUAUUUGUAACAAUUUUUAGCCAUCUCUCUUUUUCAUCUGUUAUAAUUUUUUGCAGGUGUCUGAAUCCUUUUGCCGCUUCAUUUUCAAUUUACGCAAAUGGAAUCCAAUUCGAGUCGGAAAAUGAUCUUCCGAUGUGGCGUACACACAUGAGGCACUCGCCAGGUGCUCAAAUUGCCACAGGUACGGGGCCGAAAUUCAAACAACAGCCACAGGAAGGGGUUAUGGUUAUCCGAGCAAAGUUCAUGGCCAGUGGACGUGUGUGUUCAGAUGCAUCUUCAUCUCGAUUGCAGGCCGCUCAGCAGCUGUGCGGUAGCCUCUGCUGACCACUUGGAUUAUUUUGGUCAGCCACUGGUUCGGUGGAUCUACGGAUGUCAUUUGUGGCACCUUUGAACUCCUCACGCGCCUCCUGGAAAUCAUGAAAGCGCCGCAUCUAACACGGAAAGUGCUGUUUGUUCAAAGAAAAUUGAAAAGUUGA